UACGUAGGGUGCAAGCGUUAAUCGGAAUUACUGGGCGUAAAGCGUGCGCAGGCGGUGAUGUAAGACAGAUGUGAAAUCCCAGGGCUCAACCUUGGAACUGCAUUUGUGACUGCAUCGCUGGAGUGCGGCAGAGGGGGAUGGAAUUCCGCGUGUAGCAGUGAAAUGCGUAGAUAUGCGGAGGAACACCGAUGACGAAGGCAAUCCCCUGGGCCUGCACUGACGCUCAUGCACGAAAGCGUGGGGAGCAAACAGG
rnacentral:rRNA from 1 species